GGGACAGAGGGCGGCAACGCUACGCGCCCUUUGAUUUUAUUGGUUGGUCUGUGGGGCUCAGACCCGAGACUGGGGGCAACUCUAUUAGUCCAAUCUCGGGUUUGAGAAGGUGGGACGUACUGGCCACCGCUCGAAUCCCGGGAGAAUCUUCUGGAACCUGUGUAACGUCAAACGCAGCCUUAAAGGAAAACCGCCUACCAGUUGGCGGUGACUCUGGGCAUUCUUUCCUCUCUUCGUGUAGGAGGGUAGGGGAGAGAAUAGUGCCCUUUGGGAGGUGUUAGUCCCUCGACCAGGGUCAAAAGGCCACCCCCUACCUACCUGCCUUCCAUCGGAGCCGUGGAUCGACCUCCACCAGACCUGAUUCGGCUUUACCUUAUCGUGACCCGGAAUUGACCUGAGAAACAGUUUGGACAUCCAUGAGAUCAUGCAGUCUGGAUAGAUCUGGAAACUGAGGCUUGGCAGACAUCAGUAUCUGGGCCACAGAGCAGAGGAGAGAAGGACAGAGAUCUAGGGGUUCCUGAGCUAUCAGCCCAGGACACAGGAGAGGAAUGAUUUCCCUGACUUUUACAGAGAAGGAAACUGAGGUUCAGCAAGGUCAAGCUCCAAGCAACCCUUUGGAUGAGGACUUUGUGGACUGGGAAUUCUAUGCUGGGGUCCCCUGGGCCCUCUGCAGCAUGCCCCAAGGAAACUUGCUGUCUUGGAAUAGGGAGAAGAAUAGUCUCAAUGAGCCUGGUCCUACUGUGGAAGGAAUCCUGCUUUGCCAGGCCCUGAGAUGCAACCAGCCCGAUCUGGCCAUGCAUGGUCUUUUACCACUCAUCUACAGAAAGCUAAAAGCUGCAGCUCCAGAGAGGAUACUCCUUUUAUGGUUCAUCCUAAAAAAUAUGGAGGAAAAUGUGCCAGCCCCUCUCCAUCUGGCAGCACUGUCCAGCCUUACCAGGAAUAACUUUACACUGCUGAAAGGUCUCUGUGAGGCUGUACAUCUCCUCCUCAGUUAGCAGCAAGUUGAGAUUAUCCUGAAAAAAAGUAGGAAGAAGAUGGGAACUCUGCUGAGAUGCUUACUCUGAAAUCAGUGAAUAAUGAAGAUAUCUAUAUCUGCAAGAUAACCAAUAAAGCAAGACUUAAAUUCUAUUCAGAUGUACUGAAAAAUGGAUGCAAAUCUGGCUUUUGUCUUUUUAAAAGUUGGAAAGUGAGCCCUCUACAGUGCCACGGCGGGACCCUGGAAGCUCACCAGUGCGUCGGAUAGAAGGCCUGUCCCGUAGCCCAUCCUUGAAGGCAGACACAGCCAGGCUCACCUUCUGCACCUGUUCCACUGUCUGCCUCUUGGACAUCAACACCCCCAUGGCUCUGUGGACAAAAAACAGGGGCUCAGACUCAGCCAAUGGAUGACCAUGUCAGGCCAAUCAGUUUCAACCAUUCAUCUGAGUGUACCAGUGUACAGCACCAGAAAGUGAGGGUAUGACAUGGUACAUUGCAAAGCUGGUUUGCUGUUCCCUAGUCUGAAGGGUCUUCGCAGAAUUCAGCUGGGGGAUGCUUGCUCCAAGUAAAGUGAAACAGGGUUCAUUUUAGCCUUGCUUUCAAACCAUUAUAAUCAAGGCUUAUUGAAAAAUACUAUGUGGAAGGCACUAACUACUCAUUAUAGGAAACAAAAGACAAGAAAACAGUCUCACCACUUAAGCUACUUAAUAUCAGAACUCAAAGAAGAAUGAAGUACUGGAAAUGCCUAAAGGACUGAGAGUCAAAGAGGACCUUAAAGAAUAACAUAAUAAAAGUUCUCAACAAAGGCCAAAGAGGAAGGUUACUCUGUAAGUGAACUGAGUCAUUAAUAGUUUAUCAGCAAAUUAACCACAGGCAUCUCCCAAUACACUGUAGUCCUGCUGCAACCCAUUAUUAUCUGUAAGGAGAACAAGAAUCACUAUUAUGCUAUCUUAGUUGUUAAUGAUGUCAUUGCAGUGGUUUGGGGAGUUGAUCUUCAAAGGAAUUUCAAUGAAGACUGAAGAUGACAUCCACCAGCAAAACAAACAAACAUAAAAACAAAUUAAAAACCACUUUCCAUUCCUGACCACAGGAUCCUGGAGUACUGCUACUGCUUUUUCCUGAGAUGAUUCAGUUUUCUAGGCCACUUUAUGCUUAUAAGGGCAGAAAAUGUAGAGCAGAAUCAUCGAAAAGAAACCAUCAAAAUACAAACAAGACCCCAAGUCAUUGUGAAUCGACAUAGCUUUGAUUUUGAGAGUAAAUUGUGAGAACACAAUAGCAGUAGGCUUCAAAGAAUGAGGUUAAAACUCUUAGUGCUUAAUGGAGAGGAUCAAACCUGUAUGACACCUUGAUUAAAAGCAAGUGUGCUGAAAUAGCCAUGAUGUGCACCUGGGUGUUUGAGAAAUUAACAAAAUCUGUUCUAAUUUCUGGAGAAACAAGUGGUAGUGAUUAGUGAUGGGUAAAUCAAAUGCCUGGUGAGAAAAACCUGGCCUUUCCUGUGCUGAGGAAGCCCUGAGUGAGUUAAAAAGAAAUCAAGUUGUAAAGAUCCCGAUAAAUGAUCACUAAUGAUUACUUCUUUGGCUGGUGGGUAGAAUUGGGUUUUCUGUCUUCCUAACAGGAUGAAAAGAAGGAUAAAAAGACUUUGUCUCAAGGAUGAUUUGAUUGCCAGAGAAUUUGUGGUAUCUAAGAAAGGCUUUGAAAAAACCUUGGGGCGGGGGGGCAGGAGCAGGUGGUGAUGAAUAACAGAGGGACAAGAAGGUAGAACAGGCUGUUUGGCUAUAUGAUCUGGAGGAAAUGAAGACAGAAGAUAAAACCAAAAUCUUUCUUUGGGUAAGAGAAAUCUGUCUAGAUGUAUUUGUCAGGCAGUAAGAUAUAUGUGGGCAGCUUGGAGUAUGUAUUUGCAAGACACACCCAUUCUCUAGAGCACAUGCUUACAACACAGAAUAUUUAUAAGGGCAGAGUGGUGGGAGGAAGAGGGGGAAGGGUUGCUCCCUAAUAGGAGCUGGUAGAAAAAUAAGGAAGGGGAAGGCAGCUAGGGAACCUCUUCCCUAGCUCUCUAUAAAGAUUUGUACUUGAGAGGCACCUGGCUGGCUCUGUUGCUGGAGCAUGUGAAUCUUGAUCUUGGGAUUGUGAGUUUGAGCCCCAUCUGGAGUGUAGAGAGUACUUAAAAAUAAGAUCUUUU